CCGUGGUGACGUUCUGUUGGGCGCCCGCAUCCCAACCUGAGGGCACCGUUUGGGGCACCGUUUGGGGCACCGCAGGGACCCUCUGGGGCCGCCCCCCCCUUUUCUCCUCCCUCCCCCGCCCCCCUCCCAUCCAUCCCGCAGUCCAAAGCGCAUUAACGGAGGGUUCGGGGGAUUCCACCGCCGCUCGGAGCCGCUGCGCACCGCGGAGCCGCGAAGCGCCGCCGGGACGAAACAAAAACCCCGAGAAAAAAGAGAAGAAAAAGGGGGAAAAAGAAAAAAAAACACCACACAAACAAACAAACAAAACCCACCAACAAAACGCGACCUCCAGAAAAUACCUCAAGACUCUGAUCCUGUGCCGUUGCUGCUAAACCAACCCCCGGGGAGGGGGCGGCCGCACCCGGGGGGGUCCCCGUGCAGGACUGACCGCCGGGGCCGCGGGUAUUUAUAAGAGUUCCUAUGGCUGUUUUGGUUCCGUUUGGGGUUUUUUUUUGCUUUGGUUCGGUUGGUUUUUUUUAAAAAAAAAAAAA
rnacentral:lncRNA from 1 species